GUCCUAGCUGUAAACGAUGGACACUAGGUGUUGGUGGUAUCAACCCCGCCAGUGCCGUAGCUAACGCAUUAAGUGUCCCGCCUGUGGAGUACGGCCGCAAGGCUAAAACUCAAAGGAAUUGACGGGGGCCCGCACAAGCAGCGGAGCGUGGGGUUUAAUUCGAUGCGACGCGAAGAACCUUACCAGGGCUUGACAUGGCCAGGAAGUCGGCGGAAACGUCGGCGCCCCGCAAGGGGCCUGGUCACAGGUGUUGCAUGGCUGUCGU
rnacentral:rRNA from 1 species